ACAGUGUAUAGUGCAAAGAUAAUGGCGGAAAAGGGAGAAGACAAAAUAAAAAAGCUUUCGGUACUACAAGUUUAUUGCGCCAAGGCAAAACAAAUAUUCCUGCAACCGACAGGAAUGAGGCCGUAGAUCAUGCAGGAGAAUAAAGGAUGACGCUCCGAGCCGAUCACUUUGUUCCAAAGCUAUCGCCCAAAAUGCCUUGUCAUACAUAUGGCGAGAUGCUCUCGGGGCGCUUGGCAGCUGAUUGUCUGUCGACCAGGAUUUGAGUAAAUGGGAUCAGCAAUCAUCACAUAGUGAACUCCCUCUGGAUAGCAAGCCGAGCUUCAUCCUGAGCUUCCUCCAAUGAAGACCGACGAAGGUUAUCCAUCCAGCAGACGUUCAACUCCCAUUCCAGGACGCAGUACAGAUAAAAAAGUGCAGAGGUUGUGCUUCGAGCAGAAGUAGGGACUGGUUUCAAGGACAAUGACAACCACACAAGAUCCCAUUCACUCCCACCAAAGAAUACAAUCCAGAUGGGGAUAAAACUUUGCUAGAUUUUAGGCGCAAGGUAAAAAAAACCCUGGACUAUAGAGCAAACGGUAGAGGAGGAGAAUUACGAGGGAGAAAGUGCAUGUAUG